GAUGAACGCUGGCGGCGUGCCUAAUACAUGCAAGUCGAGCGAACAGAUAAGGAGCUUGCUCCUUUGACGUUAGCGGCGGACGGGUGAGUAACACGUGGGUAACCUACCUAUAAGACGGGGAUAACUCCGGGAAACCGGGGCUAAUGCCGGAUAACAUUUAGAAACGCAUGGUUCUAAAGUGAAAGAUGGAUUUGCUAUCACUUAUAGAUGGACCCGCGCCGUAUUAGCUAGUUGGUAAGGUAACGGCUUACCAAGGCAACGAGACGUAGCCGACCUGGGAGGGUGGUCUGCCCCACUUGGACUGUGACACCGCCCCAACGCCUCCGGGGGGCAGCCGUAGGGGAACUUCGCCGAUGGGCGCAAGACCGACCGGGCAACGCCCCGGGAGUGAAGAAGGUUUUCGGGUCGUAAAACUCUCUUUUUAGAGGAGAACGUAGUUGUGAGUGGAAAGCUCACCGUCUUACGGUAACUAACUAGAAAGGCACGGCUAACUACGUG
rnacentral:rRNA from 1 species